rnacentral:rRNA from 1 species
GCAAUACGGAGCGGCAGACGGGAGAGUAACACGUGGGAACGUGCCCUUUGGUUCGGAACAACACAGGGAAACUUGUGCUAAUACCGGAUAAGCCCUUACGGGGAAAGAUUUAUCGCCAAAGGAUCGGCCCGCGUCUGAUUAGCUUGUUGGUGAGGUAACGGCUCACCAAGGCUACGAUCAGUAGCUGGUCUGAGAGGAUGAUCAGCCUCACUGGGACUGAGACACGGCCCAGACUCCUACGGGAGGCAGCAGUGGGGAAUAUUGGACAAUGGGCGCAAGCCUGAUCCAGCCAUGCCGCGUGGAUGAUGAAGGCCCUAGGG